rnacentral:misc_RNA from 1 species
UUGUAGCCCUGAUGUUCAAUUGCUUUCGCAAUUGCCUCUUGUGGCGGGGUUCGCCACAAGAGAUAAAGUGUACAGCAGGAAAUGGC